UGUGGUUCAGUGGGAAGAGUAGUUGUCUUGUAAUCCAAAAGGUGUGGGUUUGAUUCCCGCUGUCACAU